UUGGGCAGAAGCGACUCAUCCUUGGGCAGAAGCGACCACCACCCCAGGUCCCCCUGCUGGUGUAAGCCUGGAACUCUUCUAUAUACAAGCGAUGAAAGAAGACCAGUAGAAUUUCUGCUCCCACAAGACCUGUAUUCAAGCUGCAGAAACAGAAAGUCAGUGUGAAUGAAGAUGACUUUGGAAGUUGCACCUGGUGAUUUCAGAAUAUAUCACAGGAAAAAGUCUCAUGUGUACAUGAUACUUGUUUUGAAUCA